UACAGAGGAGCCAAGCGUUGUCCGGAUUGACUGGGCGUAAAGCGCACGCAGGCGGGUGCGCGCGUGGGGUGUGAAAUCUGGCCGCUUAACGGCCAGGCGCCAUCCCAUACGGCGCGCCUGGAGGGCUGCAGAGGUCGAUGGAAUUGCCGGUGUAGUGGUGAAAUGCGUAGAGAUCGGCAGGAACACCGGUGGCGAAGGCGGCAUCCUGGACCGGUAUUGACACUGAGGCGCGAAAGCCAGGGGAGCAAACGGG
rnacentral:rRNA from 1 species